rnacentral:rRNA from 1 species
GUUAUAUGGUCAAGCGAAUAAGCGCACACGGUGGAUGCCUUGGCGGUCAGAGGCGAUGAAGGACGUGGCAGCCUGCGAAAAGUAUCGGGGAGCUGGCAACAAGCUUUGAUCCGGUAAUGUCCGAAUGGGGAAACCCACCCGCUUGCGGGUAUCCUGCAGUGAAUACAUAGCUGCUGGAAGCGAACCUGGUGAACUGAAAUAUCUAAGUAACCAGAGGAAAAGAAAUCAACCGAGAUUCCGUAAGUAGCGACGAGCGAACGCGGACUAGCCCUUAAGCUGGAUUGGUUCUAGGAAAACGCUCUGGAAAGAGCGGCCAUAGAAGGUGAUAGCCCUGUAUCUGAAAGGGCCAUUCCAGUGAAGACGAGUAGGGCGGGGCACGUGAAACCCUGUCUGAACAUGGGGGGACCAUCCUCCAAGGCUAAAUACUACUGACCGACCGAUAGUGAACCAGUACCGUGAGGGAAAGGCGAAAAGAACCCCGGAGAGGGGAGUGAAAUAGAACCUGAAACCGUGUGCGUACAAGCAGUAGGAGCUCCGCAAGGAGUGACUGCGUACCUUUUGUAUAAUGGGUCAGCGACUUACUGUUCGUGGCAAGCUUAACCGUAUAGGGGAGGCGAAGGGAAACCGAGUCUGAUAAGGGCGCAUAGUCGCGGGCAGUAGACCCGAAACCGG